ACUCCACAUCCGCAUCCUUUGCUGAGGAUACGGUUAACGGAGCGAAAGCGACGUUCAACCGCAAAACAAGCAGAGGGGGCUUAGUGGUGGGGUGACUGCGUACCUUUUGUAUAAUGGGUCAGCGACUUAUAUUCUGUAGCAAGGUUAACCGAAUAGGGGAGCCGGAGGGAAACCGAGUCUUAAUUGGGCGUUAAGUUGCAGGGUAUAGACCCGAAACCCGGUGAUCUAGCCAUGGGCAGGUUGAAGGUUGGGUAACACUAACUGGAGGACCGAACCGACUAAUGUUGAAAAAUUAGCGGAUGACCUGUGGCUGGGGGUGAAAGGCCAAUCAAACCGGGAGAUAGCUGGUUCUCCCCGAAAGCUAUUUAGGUAGCGCCUCGUGAAUUCAUCUCCGGGGGUAGAGCACUGUUUCGGCUAGGGGGCCAUCCCGGCUUACCAACCCGAUGCAAACUGCGAAUACCGGAGAAUGUUAUCACGGGAGACACACGGCGGGUGCUAACGUCCGUCGUGAAGAGGGAAACAACCCAGACCGCCAGCUAAGGUCCCAAAGUCAUGGUUAAGUGGGAAACGAUGUGGGAAGGCCCAGACAGCCAGGAUGUUGGCUUAGAAGCAGCCAUCAUUUAAAGAAAGCGUAAUAGCUCACUGGUCGAGUCGGCCUGCGCGGAAGAUGUAACGGGGCUAAACCAUGCACCGAAGCUGCGGCAGCGAACGUAUCACCCAAGACAACUUUACGGAGUUGACGAUUGACGGAGCGAAGCGACGUCAAAGCGUUCAUUAAAGUCGAGUUGGCUUAGGGAUACGUUCGUUGGGUAGGGGAGCGUUCUGUAAGCCUGUGAAGGUGUGUCGUGAGGCAUGCUGGAGGUAUCAGAAGUGCGAAUGCUGACAUAAGUAACGAUAAAGCGGGUGAAAAGCCCGCUCGCCGGAAGACCAAGGGUUCCUGUCCAACGUUAAUCGGGGCAGGGUGAGUCGACCCCUAAGGCGAGGCCGAAAGGCGUAGUCGAUGGGAAACGGGUUAAUAUUCCCGUACUUGGUGUUACUGCGAAGGGGGGACGGAGAAGGCUAUGUUGGCCGGGCGACGGUUGUCCCGGUUUAAGCGUGUAGGUGUGUGUUCCAGGUAAAUCCGGUUCACUUUAACACUGAGGCGUGACGACGAGGCACUACGGUGCUGAAGCAACAAAUGCCCUGCUUCCAGGAAAAGCCUCUAAGCAUCAGGUAACACGAAAUCGUACCCCAAACCGACACAGGUGGUCAGGUAGAGAAUACCAAGGCGCUUGAGAGAACUCGGGUGAAGGAACUAGGCAAAAUGGUGCCGUAACUUCGGGAGAAGGCACGCUGACACGUAGGUGAAGUGAUUUACUCAUGGAGCUGAAGUCAGUCGAAGAUACCAGCUGGCUGCAACUGUUUAUUAAAAACACAGCACUGUGCAAACACGAAAGUGGACGUAUACGGUGUGACGCCUGCCCGGUGCCGGAAGGUUAAUUGAUGGGGUCAGCG
rnacentral:rRNA from 1 species